GAUGAACGCUGGCGGCGUGCCCAAUACAUGCAAGUCGAGCGAACGGACGAGAAGCUUGCUUCUCUGAUGUUAGCGGCGGACGGGUGAGUAACACGUGGAUAACCUACCUAUAAGACUGGGAUAACUUCGGGAAACCGGAGCUAAUACCGGAUAAUAUUUUGAACCGCAUGGUUCAAAAGUGAAAGACGGUCUUGCUGUCACUUAUAGAUGGAUCCGCGCUGCAUUAGCUAGUUGGUAAGGUAACGGCUUACCAAGGCAACGAUGCAUAGCCGACCUGAGAGGGUGAUCGGCCACACUGGAACUGAGACACGGUCCAGACUCCUACGGGAGGCAGCAGUAGGGAAUCUUCCGCAAUGGGCGAAAGCCUGACGGAGCAACGCCGCGUGAGUGAUGAAGGUCUUCGGAUCGUAAAACUCCGUUAUUAGGGAAGAACAUAUGUGUAAGUAACUGUGCACAUCUUGACGGUACCUAAUCAGAAAGCCACGGCUAACUACGUG
rnacentral:rRNA from 1 species